UCUUAGUAACAAUCUAGACGAUUGUAUAGUCUAGAUGUAUAGUCUAGAGAGUUCAGAGCUCAGAGUCAGUUGAAAUAAAACUAUUUAACUAAAUUUCUCAAAUACCGUUGCAAACAUAAUCUUAGUAAGGUUAUCUAGACGAUUGUAUAGUCUGGAAAGUCCAGAGCUCAGAGUCAGUUCAAAUAAAACUAUUUAUCUAAAAUGCUCCUCAAUUUUUCAAUUCUUCCCGGACAAACAUCAUCCAGUUGAAUCGAACCAAAAUCCGAUUCGAAUGACUAAGUUA